rnacentral:rRNA from 1 species
GAUGAACGCUGGCGGCGUGCCUAAUACAUGCAAGUCGAGCGAACAGACGAGGAGCUUGCUCCUCUGACGUUAGCGGCGGACGGGUGAGUAACACGUGUAUAACCUACCUAUAAGACUGGGAUAACUUCGGGAAACCGGAGCUAAUACCGGAUAAUAUAUUGAACCGCAUGGUUCAAUAGUGAAAGACGGUUUUGCUGUCACUUAUAGAUGGAUCCGCGCCGCGUUAGCUAGUUGGUAAGGUAACGGCUUACCAAGGCAACGAUGCGUAGCCGACCUGAGAGGGUGAUCGGCCACACUGGAACUGAGACACGGUCCAGACUCCUACGGGAGGCAGCAGUAGGGAAUCUUCCGCAAUGGGCGAAAGCCUGACGGAGCAACGCCGCGUGAGUGAUGAAGGUCUUCGGAUCGUAAAACUCUGUUAUUAGGGAAGAACAAAUGUGUAAGUAACUAUGCACGUCUUGACGGUACCUAAUCAGAAAGCCACGGCUAACUACGUG